ACAGGGAUUGCCCCAGUAACGGCGAGUGAAGCGGCAGCAGCUCAAAUUUGAAAUCCGGGGCGCCCGAGUUGUAAUUUGCAGAGGAUGCUUUUGGCGAGGUCCCUGGAACGGGACGCCGCAGAGGGUGAGAGCCCCGUCUGGUCGGACGCCUAGCCUCUGUAAAGCUCCUUCGACGAGUCGAGUAGUUUGGGAAUGCUGCUCAAAACGGGAGGUAUAUGUCUUCUAAAGCUAAAUACCGGCCAGAGACCGAUAGCGCACAAGUAGAGUGAUCGAAAGAUGAAAAGCACUUUGAAAAGAGGGUUAAACAGUACGUGAAAUUGUUGAAAGGGAAGCGCCCGUGACCAGACUCGGGCCCGGAGGAUCGCCCGGGUCACUCCGCCGGGCGGGCCAGCAUCGGUUCGGCGGGGGACAAAGGAACGUGGCUCCCCCCCGGCGCGCAAUGCCCCGCGGCGGACCGAGGUCGCGCUCCGGUCACCGGCGACCCGUCUUGAAACACGGACCAAGGAGUCGUCUUCGUAUGCGAGUGUUCGGGUGUAAACCCCUACGCGGAAUGAAAGUGAACGCAGGUGAGGCGCAUCAUCGACCGAUCCCGAUGUUCUCGGACGGAUUUGAGUAGGAGCAUACGGGGCCGGACCCGAAAGAAGGUGAACUAUGCCUGUGUAGGGUGAAGCCAGAGGAAACUCUGGUGGAGGCUCGGUUCUGACGUGCAAAUCGAUCGUCAAACAUGGGGCGAAAGACUAAUCG
rnacentral:rRNA from 1 species